rnacentral:lncRNA from 1 species
UUGCAAGUAUUUACUAAUCCUGGGAUAACAGGUCUCCCUUUAUUUUUGCAUCAGGAGUGAUAAAGCUAUUAGAUUCACUAGACAGAGAAAUUGAAUCACAAUACAAGAUAGCUGUGAAAGUAACAGACUUGGACAACGAUGCCAUCCCUGAUCCCCUCAGACAGAGAAGUGGUACUGCUCAGGUGACCAUCAAUGUUCUGAAUAUAAAUGAUGAGCCUCCUGUAUGCAAUCCACCACAUUUGGAAACUCAAAUUUAUUCCACUGUUAAGAGUCCUUUCAUUCAGCUCCACGGUUCAGACAAAGAUUCUCCACAGGAACAUCUGAGCUAUACAAUUGUAGGAGGUAAGACGUAUAAUUUCAAAAAUGUUAUUUCUCUGCUGUUUUACAAGAUACUCACAUGAGAUAUUUUGUAACCAUUGGAAAUAUAUUAUGAAACAUAUUUUAAAAUAAAAAUGUAAGACAAUAUAAAUCACAAUACAUAAUGUAAUUUUAUUUCCUUUUUAUUACCUAAUCAUUCUCAGGAAAUACAAAUAAUCAAUUCACACUUCAGAGACUAGGUGGUGAUCCUCCUUCUCUGGCCAUCACGCAGAAUUUCCAGUAUGAUGUAUUUCAAGGGGUUCGGAGCCCUGUGACUUUCCAGCUACUUAUUGAAGUCACUGAUGAAUUAGGUGGGAAUAAGCCUAGUCAGCUGUCAGCCACUACAACAGUCAUAAUUCAUGUCCUUCCCUGGACCACAACACAGCCAACUUCUUCCACAAAAACAACUACAACUACAAUUACUACUUCUGUCUUAAUAAAGAUUUCGUAUUAUUGGAUCCCUGAUAACUGGAUUCCUGCGUUAUUAACUCUAACAGGAGCUCUUUUUGUGAUGUGCCUCUACGCUGUUGCAUGGUGCCUCUUUAAAGAGUAAGAUUUUAAUUGCUGUUUCUAUUUGAAUUUGUUCAUUGCUCAUAAAGUCCAUCAGCAAUGGCUUAAAAAGAGCAGGAUGAAAGUAGAAAGAAGAAAUUGGAGAAAAUGUCAUUGAGCAUCUAUUACUUUAAGUGCUUUACAGAUGUUAUCCUUGCUGAUAAUCACAACAAUGCUGAGAGAUAGGUAACAGCAUCAGUGUUUUAGAUUUACAUAAAUGAUUUUAACCAAGAUCUUUUGGUUCUAAAGCUACUGUUCUUUCGCUAAGUGAUCAAUCAAAUGAUUCAAGCUAAAACCAUUCGUCUGAAAAAAAAAAAAGGAAAUGAGAUUUUUAAAUUUC